AAACAAAAAAUGACAUGCAGACUUGAUCGGCUGAUCCUGUGGGGCCAGUUACUGUAUCCAAGGAGGGAGGUCAAUCCAUCACAACCAAUUCGGGUUAAGAAGCCCAUUUGAUCGGAUUCGGGUGGGAUCCGAAACAACCUAUUUCCAAGCAGAAGGUUCUCGAGCGUUGGCUGCAUCAUCAGAUUCGUCCUCAUCAGAAGUGAGUCUUGCUCGGUCAUCGUCUUCUUGUUGAUCCUAAAAACUCAGGAGGCAGAUAGUAUCAUCAGAUGGCUAUGAGAUAUACUGUGAGUCAAAUCAGACUUAAUCGUUUCAUGGAAGGUUAUAGGAGAAGUGCUCCUCGCUACUUCAGCGAUGACAAAGGCAGGGUUCUGAGCGAGGAAGAACGAGCUGCUGAGAACGUUUACAUCCAGAAAAUGGAGAGAGAGAGGAUGGAGAAACUGAAGCGUAAGGCGGAGAAGGAAAAGGCAGCUGCAGAGAAAGAGAAAGCCGAGAAGAAGGCUGAAGAAGGUACCCACAAGGGCUGACAUGGUCAAUCUUUGCUUACUGCUGAACUCUUCUUGGAGGCAGCUAUGAGGAAUAAAUGUAUAUAACAUACAUAAACUCUUGAUGAGACUUGGCUUUUGUAAGGAGUUGGAUGCUACUGGUUUUGUCUCAUAAACAGUAAUAAUCUUAACUGUUAACAGGUGCUGUCCUUCGAGCCUUUACCUUAAUUACCUUGUUCUGUUUUUCAUUA